AGAGAGAACGAACAAGAGGAAAGAAAGUUCAUUUAAGUGGAGAAAGAUAUAAGAAGAUGUACUGUCCAUUCUGUGGUUCCAGCGUGACAUCUUCGCAUGGCUUUUGUGGUGUCUGUGGCAGAGACAUCACAUUUCUAAAAGAUGUGGCUAACAAAGUCCCUGCGGAGAUGCCCACCACUAGUGCGCAUCUAAGUGCACAGCCUAGCACCAGUGCAGCAGGAAGCUCAGCUGUAGAGUCCUUUCAGAAAUAUAGGGAAAUAAAAAAGAGGGAGAGACCUUUUUUACAAAGGGACGGCAUAACUCCAAAAAUAAACAGAAAUUGGUGAAGAUUUCUGUUGGAGUAAUGAGGAGGAUGGAUGGCUGCCUUAAACCUUUGAGAGGGAGGUCACUUCCCCUUAAUGUCGAACCUCAAUGGGCAUGUGAAGAACUGUUGGCUGCUGCCAUAAAAAAGCAGAAAGCCUUUAACCAGGACUUGGAAGAUGGUGCCCAUGUCUUGUUGUACCCUGAUGCGAGGGUGAUAACAAAUAUCCCCGGAACGGACACCCCUUUCACAGUACAGAUGUACAAAGAGGCCAUUCCCAUAUAUUCCCCCUUGUUUAAAGCACUAAACUGUAUAAUAGUUCAAAUGUAAACAUAACAGUUGUUCUGUCUAUAUUUCUUAACACAAUUCAUUCCACC